AAAAAUUCCUACGUCCAAACUCUCUCUCUCUCUCCAUCCUCUAGUUUCAAGUCUCUGCGUCUUCAAGCAAAGAGAAGAAGAGAACAAGAAGCCGUGAAGCCUCCUAGCCGCCAUCAUCCACCUUGUGUCAUGAAGCCUUGAAGCCUUGCUUUCAAGAUUCAAGAGUCCAAAGUCUCAAGCUCUCCAUCACCAUCUCCAUUCACGGUGUGUACCCUCAAUCCCCGGUUUGAACGAUCCCUAUUUACCAUAUACUAACGAUGACAUUUUUCAGGGUUAAAUUACGCGCUUACUUUUAGCGUAUCAUUGAGGUGAGUUCCAGUGGCCGAUUGGCUGCAUGUGUUCUUCCAGUGUUUGCGCUCAAUACGCAUAUGGUAUAAACAAGUACCCCAAGUCCCCGGUCAAGAACUCUCUUGGGUAGGGAGUUUAUUCAAGUGGAAGCACUGGGAGUGGACGAUAAAAGGCCUGCCGGGAGGCGCUUUACCGGGCUGACCAAUUCCCCAAGUCUCCAAGCAAGAGGAUUCGGAGACCAGGUCUCAGUAUGAUAGCCUUGCUUGCCUCUCUGGGAGGCAAUGGGUACUUGAUUUGGUGAGGGACUGUGUACUUGGAGUUGCCUCUAGUGCCGGAACGGCCUAACACUUGGUGUGUUUUGCGAUGUUCCAAAGUAUGACACGCGUGCUGGGAUUUAGAGUUUGUGUGUGAUGAGAUGUCAUUUCAGUUGCCGUAACGAGUCAUAAUUAUCAUACUGGAACCUAGACGACGGUCCACGUACGUCAUUAAUGAGAAUAUGUGUCAGGAUCAUGUUCGAAGGUUGAUUCGAAAUCAACGAUGGUGAUCAAAGUGUAAGUGUAUAUCCAGAGAGAGUAUUUUUCUAAAUUUUUGCUUUUUGGCUUGAAAUUUCUCUCUCAAGAAAAUAGAGCAGAAGAUUGGAGAAUUUCGUUGUGCUUUGACAAGAGUGAAGAUUUCCGGAGCUCAUCGAGCAAUCGGGCAUUUACAAAUGUCCUCACUACUUGAUUCAUCCUCCGAAAAUUUUCAUAGAGUGAUGGGACCAAAACCAAUGUUGAGAGGAACAAAGAGGAUUGGGCAAAGAAGAAAUAAAUCUAAUUGUAUUUUUUUCGGUGGACAUCAGUAUAAUGCGGCUAAAUCAAAGAAAUCGAAAACAAAGAACUUAAUUGGGAAAGGUGGGCAAGCAGAAGCUCACAUUAGCCACCCCAAUGCUGUUAAAUUGCCUGGAUUUGGCAUCAAUGGUGUUUGCAAACAGAGAUAAAGACAAUAUUUUAGCAGGGUAGAUGUUUGCAGGAUGAUAAUGAGUAUUCCCUUUCAAAAAUUUGGAGUAGAGACAUACAGUGUUGAAAAGGGAUUCACUCUCGGAUUACAUUUUUGCUCUGAAUCCCUAUGUAUAAAACCGACAUCUCCAGCUGCUUUCCAAUAAGAGAAGCCUCCAUCAAAGUCACCAUCUACUGUUACGCAAUAUCAGGCUUAUCCAUCACAAUCAACAUCACCGAAGACUGGGUUGGCUACCUAUGAUCUAUCUGAGCUGCAAAUUGAGGGUGAUGCAAAUUGCCAGUUUCGAGCAAUAGCUGAUCAUUUUUUCACAAUCCAGACUACCAUAAGCAUGUUAGAAAGCAGAAAUUAGUGAUCAAGACAAGGAGCAUCGAGUUCAUGCCAGUCUAUCUUUCUCCUGCAACCUUCUUGAUCAGUCUCUCUUUCUUUGCAUACGGACUUUUCAGAGAAGAUCCAUUCAUAUAUGUUUGACGAAUCUAUGAAUGUCAAGCAGCUUGAGAACAUAUUGUGAUCCAUGUCAACUUCCACUAUCGGAUAGCCUAUCCGCAGCAAAGCGCGGGCACGCUUUCUAGUUUUCUUUUGUUCUUUGGUUGAUGAUAAGUGUUGUUCAAUUGAUCAAACAUGUUUAUCAGCUAUAUAAGUAUUUGAAUAUGGUAUUCAUGUUUUGGUGCAUUUUAUAUAAAAUUUAUUAUUUGGCUU